rnacentral:snoRNA from 1 species
UCAGUGUGGAAAAUGUGGGAGAUCACUUUCCCUAGUUCUAAGUGCUGUGGAGGGGCACCGGGCUUUGCCCCAUAAUAUCCAGACCCUUUCCACAGUGAUAGAGAAAAGGCUGGACUUUGUGUCAGCACCUGCAUAUUCCCACUUCUCAGAGUUCUUCGAACAAUGCCUGAGAAGAUAAACCAUGCAGGAAAUAUUG